ACUCUCAUUGUUCUCCAAAGACUCGUCUGACUUAUCAAGUAACCCUUGUGGCGUCAACCCGUCUUUCUAUCCGAACUUAUCACUUUAAUCCCGAAAGUGUGGCGUUCGAUUCGUACUGAGGUUCCUAUCAUUUUUGAUAGCGGGUUGAAGUUUCUAUCCACUUAACAAACCUUCCAUUGACACCUUACCAACCUAAGCAUUCUCAUAAGUUACGGGUUAACACACUACUAUUGUGUUAGUUCGGCCAUUGAAUCCUUAGCCAAAUUACAUCCAUUGUCUUCUAAUUCAUUUCCUAAACCAACAAAACUCUUUUGAGCCUAAAUAAUUCCUUUUCUUCUAGCCUAUUUUGUAAAGCUUUCAAAUUACUCCAAUUCACGAUCGGGCACAUCUACGACUCGAC
rnacentral:lncRNA from 1 species